rnacentral:snRNA from 1 species
GGAUAUGAGGGCGAUCUGGCUGCAACAUCUGUCAUCCCAUUCAUAACCAGAGUUAAUUCAGCUGAUCUGACUGGCUAGGUGGGUGUCUUCUUCCUCCAUUGCCACUCCAUGUGCAUGCCUCCCAAACCUGCACUCUCUGUCAAAGAGGAUGACCUUCCCUGAUACAGUUCCCUGAUACAGUUCUUUGGUCAAGAGUAUAGGAGUAGCUGUGCUUCCCUGCUAGAAUCUCUGAACAAGCUUGUGAGAUCCAACUGCAUGCCAUUUAUUAAUUUAUUUUUGUCUUAUCUUAUUGCAAUGGUUAGAAUUUCUAGUA